ACAUUCAACGUAUUAAUAAUAAGCGUUCGUUAUUAAUCAUAUUCAUAUGGUAUAUAGUUUCUUUCGAUUGCAUUUUUAGGACUUCACGGUGUAUCAAACAUCUGUUACAUACAAAGAGUACCGCUAGAAUCGAGCCAGCACAUCCAUUCACUGCGAAUACCAGCAAACCAGGUUCUUCUAUUUUGCUGCUGCAAGUUGUAUCAAGCAGUCGGUUAAUAGGUGAAUUUACUGUUCUCGAUACUUAGCCAUUGGCACAUGACCGAUAUUUCAGAUUCCAGAGGGAAAUUAUGUCAUGAAUGUAGGAAGAACGAAAGCACGUAAUAUCUCUUCUUUGCUUUGAAUUAUCAAAAGUUAGAAGAGGAUUAGAAGAUUAGAAUAAUCGAGUAUUGAAAUAUUUGAACAGUAGCAAUUAGUAAAUAGUAAAAAAUUAAAAUUGAUUCCAAAUAUUAUUAAUAUCACAUUAAUUUCUCAAGGUAGUAAAUGGAAAGUUUAAAUUGGAGAAUGAAACACUUGCAUUCGGAAUAAUUAUAAUUACAGCGCGUCCGCUUCACCGUGGCAUUUAACGCGUUAAGUAUUAAUUCUUCAAUUGAAUCAAGAAGAAACUGUGCAGCGUUAAGAGAAAUCUGAACGUCGUCAUUUACGCCUGUCCUUUACCCUUUGAGCUUUGUCUGAGGAAGACAUGAGCCACUUAAAAAUCAGGUCGUAUCUACAAUCAAAUUUCAUUUUAUAGGAACAAUGAGAAGCAUAUAUCAACGUUACAACAAAAGCUUUGAGGACUUAAAAUUAAAAAAGAGGAUUUAAAAAUGAAUUGGAAACUUGAAAAGUCAGAACUAUGAUAAAUUAAUUAUUUUAAACAAAUUAUCCACAACCCAAGUGCCAAUUCAAGAAAAGUUGAAGAAGAAAAUCAUGCCUUUGGAAAUCUAGCCAUAAAGAUAAGAGAUCAAACUGAAAUCUCGAGCAACGCGUUAGAAGACGAAGAACAAAAGGUGAAUACGUUGCGGACCCUCCCUUCUUCGAGGAAGUCGCCGAAAGUGUAACAGUAGGUUUCUCAGAGCUCCCGGUGGUUCUCCGGAUGAAGAGGAUCCAGUCUGGGUGUUGUUACUCGACUGCUUCGUGGUAGACUCGAAGGUAGACCCGGGGUCACGAAGGUUCAACAGUACAGUGGAUUAAGGAUCGUCAAAUGAGCUGGUGCAUGGUGGAAGAAAGGAUCGUAGAUGAUCCAAGUUUGUCCGAUUGGACCAGUCAGUGUUUCUUUCACUCUCCUCUAGUGUUAAUAACAAACGUUCUAAAUCUCUGAUUUUGGAGAACGCUGCAUCUUGUUGUUUCAAUGAUUUAUUUAAUUUUUAUUUAAUCAACACUGGAAGAAACGAGAAGAAGAAUAGUACAUAA